UACGUAGGUGGCAAGCGUUGUCCGGAUUUAUUGGGCGUAAAGCGAGCGCAGGCGGUUCCUUAAGUUUGAUGUGAAAGGCCCCGGCCCAACCGGGGAAGGUCAUUGGAAACUGGGGAACUUGAGUGCAGAAGAGGAGAGUGGAAUUCCAUGUGUAGCGGUGAAAUGCGUAGAUAUAUGGAGGAACACCAGUGGCGAAAGCGGCUCUCUAGUCUGUAACUGACGCUGAGGCUCGAAAGCGUGGGGAGCGAACAGG
rnacentral:rRNA from 1 species